rnacentral:rRNA from 1 species
GACGAACGCUGGCGGCGUGCUUAACACAUGCAAGUCGAACGGAAAGGCCUCUUUCGGGGGGUACUCGAGUGGCGAACGGGUGAGUAACACGUGAGUAACCUGCCCCUGACUUUGGGAUAACUUCAGGAAACUGGGGCUAAUACCGGAUAGGAGCUCCUGCUGCCUGGUGGGGGUUGGAAAGUUUCGGCGGUUGGGGAUGGACUCGCGGCUUAUCAGCUUGUUGGUGGGGUAGUGGCUUACCAAGGCUUUGACGGGUAGCCGGCCUGUGAGGGUGACCGGCCACAUUGGGACUGAGAUACGGCCCAGACUCCUACGGGAGGCAGCAGUGGGGAAUAUUGCACAAUGGGUGGAAGCCUGAUGCAGCAGCGCCGUGGGCGGGAUGACGGCCUUCUGGUUGUAAACCGCUUUCGCUCAUGACGAAGCUUUGUGUGACGGUAGUGGGUAAAGAAGCACCGGCUAACUACGUG